ACAAACUUGGUCAUUUAGAGGAAGUAAAAGUCGUAACAAGGUAACCGUAGGUGAACCUGCGGUUGGAUCAUUACUGAACUGUGGAAAAUUGACCCCUUUCGUGAACUGUUAUUUUUUCUUUGGUGGCCCACAAAACAUGUCGGAGCGUUUUUUUUGUUAUACUUGCUUACUUGAUUGAGGUCUUGGGAGUACGGUCAAUAUAGAAAGAACGCGACUUCGGGCCACCUAACUGUUAUUAAAUCUUUGUUUAAUGUAUAUUUUGUCUUUGUAUGAGUUGAAUCUCAAAUAAAACAAAAACAACUUUUGACAAUGGAUCUCUUGGCUCUUGCAUCGAUGAAGAACGCAGC
rnacentral:misc_RNA from 1 species